AGUGAACGCUGGCGGUAGGCCUAACACAUGCAAGUCGAACGGCAGCACAGUAAGAGCUUGCUCUUACGGGUGGCGAGUGGCGGACGGGUGAGGAAUACAUCGGAAUCUACUUUUUCGUGGGGGAUAACGUAGGGAAACUUACGCUAAUACCGCAUACGACCUACGGGUGAAAGCAGGGGAUCUUCGGACCUUGCGCGAUUGAAUGAGCCGAUGUCGGAUUAGCUAGUUGGCGGGGUAAAGGCCCACCAAGGCGACGAUCCGUAGCUGGUGUGAGAGGAUGAUCAGCCACACUGGAACUGAGACACGGUCCAGACUCCUACGGGAGGCAGCAGUGGGGAAUAUUGGACAAUGGGCGCAAGCCUGAUCCAGCCAUACCGCGUGGGUGAAGAAGGCCUUCGGGUUGUAAAGCCCUUAUGUUGGGAAAGAAAAGCAGCAGGUUAAUACCCCGCUGUUCUGACGGUACCCAAAGAAUAAGCACCGGCUAACUUCGUG
rnacentral:rRNA from 1 species